CCUACGGGUGGCUGCAGUAGGGAAUUUUGCGCAAUGGGCGAAAGCCUGACGCAGCAACACCGCGUGUAGGAUGAAGGAUUUCGGUCUGUAAACUACUGUCAGCAGGGAAUAAAUUGACUGUACCUGCAGAGGAAGCAUCGGCUAACUACGUGCCAGCAGCCGCGGUAAGACGUAGGAUGCAAGCGUUGUCCGGAAUUAUUGGGCGUAAAGAGUUCGUAGGCGGUUUGUUAAGUCUGGUGUUAAAGACGGGAGCUCAACUCCCGCAUGGCAUCGGA
rnacentral:rRNA from 1 species